rnacentral:rRNA from 1 species
AUGGGUGAGUCAUCUGCUUCUUCUGAGAUCUCUGCUCCCCUUGGUUUUCCAUUCCCUGCUUUUCUCCCAACCAAUGAUUUAAUUGUAGAGGUAGAAAAUUCACUCAUUGUACCACCUUCUUUGAGCACAGAUGAUAGCAAGGACAUUGCUCAUAAGACUGAACUUUUGGGAAAGGAAGGUGUUGAAGUCUGGUACAAGCAUUUUGCACCCUCAAACAAUGAUCAAACUUCCAUUCAGGGGGCACAAGAGCAAGAGGUCAACUCCCUAGCUCCAUCUGCACCACUUCUGGCACAAGCUGCUGCAUCUACUUCAGCCAUGCACAACAUCAAGAAGAGAAAGGAAAAGGUUCCACUAGUGGAAACUGAGGUAAGGAGAAGUUGUCGAUUACAACAACUAGCCAAGGGUUACAAGAAAAAAGAUUUGCAUGGAUAA